AACGGACGCUGGCGGCAUGCCUAACACAUGCAAGUCGAACGAGAUCUUCGGGUCUAGUGGCGCACGGGUGCGUAACGCGUGGGAAUCUGCCCUUUGGUUCGGAAUAACAGUUGGAAACGACUGCUAAUACCGGAUGAUGACGAAAGUCCAAAGAUUUAUCGCCAGAGGAUGAGCCUGCGUAGGAUUAGCUAGUUGGUGUGGUAAAGGCGCACCAAGGCGACGAUCCUUAGCUGGUCUGAGAGGAUGAUCAGCCACACUGGGACUGAGACACGGCCCAGACUCCUACGGGAGGCAGCAGUGGGGAAUAUUGGACAAUGGGCGAAAGCCUGAUCCAGCAAUGCCGCGUGAGUGAUGAAGGCCUUAGGGUUGUAAAGCUCUUUUACCCGGGAUGAUAAUGACAGUACCGGGAGAAUAAGCUCCGGCUAACUCCGUGCCAGCAGCCGCAGUAA
rnacentral:rRNA from 1 species